rnacentral:rRNA from 1 species
UACGUAGGGAGCGAGCGUUGUCCGGAUUUAUUGGGCGUAAAGGGCUUGUAGGUGGCUUGUCGCGUCUGCCGUGAAAUUCCGCAGCUUAACUGUGGUAGUGCGGUGGGUACGGGCAGGCUUGAGUGUGGUAGGGGAGACUGGAAUUCCUGGUGUAGCGGUGGAAUGCGCAGAUAUCAGGAGGAACACCGGUGGCGAAGGCGGGUCUCUGGGCCAUUACUGACGCUGAGGAGCGAAAGCGUGGGGAGCGAACAGGAUUAGAUACCCUGGUAGUCCACGCUGUAAACGUUGGGAACUAGGUGUGGGGCCUGUCAUGGGUUCUGCGCCGGCGCUAACGCAUUAAGUUCCCCGCCUGGGGAGUACGGCCGCAAGGCUAAA